CAACUCUACUUCAAUUUUUAAAAAGUGCUGGGAUUAUAGGUGAUUUUUACUUUCUUUUUGGUGUUUUUCAUAUAAAAAAUUUAAACACUCAGCAAAACAAAUACCAUCCUUUUGUUCUCAAAGAGCUCAGGAUCGAGUGGGGAGACAGAUACAGAUCCAGGUAAUCACAACAAAACACUGUUUGUGGCAAGGGCUGUGGAAGCACAGUGGAGGUAGUGGAAGGCUUUCUGGAGGAGGUGACAUUUUGACUCUGGUCUUCAAAGACCUCAAGGAAUCAGCCAAGUGGAGAAGUGGAGCUAGAACUCCUCUGGUGGAAGGAAAGGCAAAGUUGCGAGAGAAAGCGUGAGGUUCUGGAAGCGUCUGUAAAGCUCAGGAGCUGAAAUGCAGCUUGCCUGCUGGGAGUAGCUGGAGAGUGAAAAGUUUUACCAGGGGAGUGACAGAUUUGUAUUUUGGGUGGAUCCUCUGGCGAGGUCUUUUCUGGGUUGAGGUUAGAGACAUUGCUCUCAGGCAAAGGCUGGAAACUAAUAAGAUGUAAACACAGACUUUCCCAUUCACCUCGGAAUUUCAGCUGAGGCCCCAAAGGCCAGACCUGCUAAACUUAAAGUGAGAGGCUGAACCACCCAUGCAGAACUCUGGAGGAGGAGAGAGGGCAGGACUAAAAGCCAUUGCUCAGCUAACCUGACUGCCACGGAGAGAAAGUCAACAUCCCCCAGGAACCGCCGGAGAGAAGACUCUUCCGAGAGAGUUGUCAGCGCAUUCACUCUGCCCGUCCCCCAACCACACCUUACCAGGGAGGGGAAGGAGCUCUCCCCCGUCACCUCGAACCAGGGGAGAGAGGCUUUGGGAGAACUAUUUGGGGAGCCUUGAAGGUGGGGCUGUGAGGUCUGGAAUCUGGUGAGUGGGGGGGGAGCGCUUCUAGUCAGGGGGCUGUACUUCCAGCUGUGUGUUUCUCUUAGGGCACCUGUAGAUCCCACAGUAAGGAGAAGGAUGAGACCUUCUUGGAAAGCACCCCGUGGAAGAGGGCUUCCGCUCAGGGGAGAGGGGACUCCCGCAGAGUGAGGCUGCAAGUGUGAGGAGGGAUGCAGAAGCCAAGGGGCUGUAAACAGCCCCAAAGAGGAAGCACCCCCUUUUUUUAGGGGUACUGUAGCCGAAUGGUGUGGUAGGUCUCCCAGGAGCCUAUCAGAAGUGUUCCUGAGAGAAAAUGUCAGUAUCUGGAACCUGCCAAGACCAGAGGGCUCUAUCGUAGGUAGACCUUCCUGGCUGAGACUACCCCACCCCCUCCCCCCAGCUCUGGAGUGCCAGAGGCAGCCGGGGCAGGGGCAGGAGGAGCUGAAAAGCGAGGCGAGAGAGGCUGCCCAGGCCCCUCCCCAGCCAGCAGGUGUCCCAGCCAGAGGUGGCCAGAACAGGGGCAGUUUUGCUUUAACACUGGCCUGCGCGUAGAGUGCCUGACAAUAACCGGGAGGCUCUCGGAAAGCUAGGGGACCUGCCGAGAUUUCAUCCGGUUAAAGUAAAGCAUGAGUCCGCAGAAUCGGUUCGAAAGGGCAGUGGUAGGAAAGAAAGAAAUCGGCUCCGUGCUUUCCAGCUGCUGAGUCAAACCCCUUUCUUUAAUAAACAGCUACGAAACCUUAAUGACGCCUAUCUGGUGAAUGCGGUCUUAAAAACGAUGAGAGGAUUUUCCUCCCACUGUCUCCCGCAUCGGCCAACCCUUUUUAUCAAAGCGAGACGGACAAUUACCGCUUGGAAACUCGUGUGUUUCCGCUGGCGACGUGUCUCGUCGCGCUGGCGGGGGCUCAGGGACGCAAUAGCUGGCUCGGGCGGCGGCGGCGGCGCGGGCGGAGCACCGGUCCUGGCCUGCCCUGCCCUGCAGCGCCCCCUGCUGACCGAAGCUGCAGCGGCUGGCACCCCCGCCUUGCGACCCAGCUUUGGGGCUGGAAGCCGUCCUGCCUUCCUGGAGUCUGCAGGCUUUGAGGCCAGACAGGCAUUCGGGAAUUGAACGGUCAAACGAGAGGUGUACACUUGCCACUGGGAUGAGAGCCUAUCCGAUAGGGGAGGGGGCUGAUAUGGUCAGAAAGGUCAGCCGCGGAGGGUGAGGCUGGGCAAAAGGGCUGAGGUGGGAAGUGGGGGUAGUGGCGUUUGGGAGAGUGCAGCAUGCUGAGGAGUCACCGGUAUUCCUGCUACUUAGUGUCUCUGGGCAUUUGCCCAAGCUGGUACCUCUACCUGGAAAACAUUUCCCACUUUCCUUUUCCGUUUUUUGGUUUGUUUUUUUUUUUUGGUUCUAAUUACUGAAUGUAUUCACAAAUAUGAGAGAAUGAAUAUAUAAAUAUCCAUGCACCCAUCACUCAGCUCAAGAAAUAAGACCUAACAAAUAGAAAGUACCCAUGUACUCCUCCCUUUCACCCUCCUUCUUCCCAGAGCUGGCUCCUUAAGUUGAUGUUUUCAUUCCCAUGUAAGUUGUUUUUUUUUUUUUUUUUUUUUAGGGAAGUCGUGUGACCCUAUGCCCUCAUACUUUGAAUCAUCAAGACUAAAUUUCAUCGUCUAGAAUCUGCUUUAAAAAUUCAGUGUGUCUGUGACCCUCUAGGACUGAAUGAUAGGAGUCGUUCUUACAUUUGGGGUUGACUGUGCAAUUAUUUAUUUUUUUUUCAUUUUAACAUCUUUAUUGGAGUAUACUUGCUUUACAAUGUUUUUUCCUCCACUGAAGUCUUGAACCCCUCAAAGUCAUCCAUGAGAGCUGGAGUCAACUUCUUCCAAACCCCUGUUAAUGUUGAUAUUUUGACAUCUUCCCAUGAAUCAAGAAUGUUCGUUCUUUUUUUAAAAUAAAUUUAUUUAUUUAUCUAUUUAUUUA